UCCCAAACUUGGGUUUGUGAAUCUAUCAUGCCAAAACAAACAAAAGAUUCCCCACAGGGGCCCUGUUUCAGCCCCUCAUGGCAUACACAAAUACACAUUCACUACACUCUGGGUCAAAGAAACCUUUGCAUUUGGUCUCUUAAAGACAAGUUAUAUGUCUCAAGUAUGAGGAUAUUUUCUCAGUGAAUCAUUGGACGGAAAGCUCCACCUAUGGAACAUAACUAAAAAAAUGGCUUUAUGGAAUGAAGUUGAUGGUCAGACAAAGUUGAUCACAGCUGCCAAUUUUUGUCAGAAUGGUGAAUAUGCAGUAAUUGGGACACAUUUAAAGUAAAAUACACAAAUACAUGUAUGAUCUACUAGAAAAAUUACUGGCAUUGAACCUUUACCUAGAGAAAAUAAGGUACUAAUGAUAACCUCACAUGACUCCAGAAUCAGACUGUAUGAUCCGAGAGACCUAUCAUUGUCCAUAAAGUAUAAGAGUUAUCAAUAGGCAGCAGCCAGAUCAAAGUACAGUCAUGACUCUACUUACCUCUUUAGCGGUUUAGAAGAUAAAUAUGUUUAUAUCUGGAGUACGUACCAUGACCUAAGCAAGUUUACUUCAGUCAGGAGAGAUCGUAAUGACUUCUGGGAAGGUAUUAAAGGUAAGCAAAUGCAGCUUACA
rnacentral:lncRNA from 1 species